rnacentral:rRNA from 1 species
CGCUCAACGGAUAAAAGGUACUCCGGGGAUAACAGGCUGAUUCCGCCCAAGAGUUCAUAUCGACGGCGGAGUUUGGCACCUCGAUGUCGGCUCAUCACAUCCUGGGGCUGUAGUCGGUCCCAAGGGUAUGGCUGUUCGCCAUUUAAAGUGGUACGUGAGCUGGGUUUAAAACGUCGUGAGACAGUUUGGUCCCUAUCUGCAGUGGGCGUUGGAAGUUUGACGGGGGCUGCUCCUAGUACGAGAGGACCGGAGUGGACGAACCUCUGGUGUACCGGUUGUGACGCCAGUCGCAUCGCCGGGUAGCUAAGUUUGGAAGAGAUAAACGCUGAAAGCAUCUAAGCGUGAAACUCGCCUGAAGAUGAGACUUCCCUAGGGAUAUAAUCCCUCUAAAGAGACGUUCGAGACCAGGACGUUGAUAGGUCGGGUGUGGAAGAGUGGUAACACUUGCAGCUAACCGAUACUAAUUGCUCGUGAGGCUUGACUCUAUCA